CCCUAAGCUUGCCCAACUGGGCAGAGGGAUCCUUCUCCCCUUGUGACUGUUUCAGGGGCUGCCGCAAAGAAAUUCCUCAGGGAUCACUGCUGUAUUCCCACCUCACCUCUCUUCCAAAGGAAAAAUGAAGGAAACUCUAAGGCAGAAGUGAGGCAUCUUCAAAGGGCAAAGCUGCCACUUCAUCAGCUUGUCCUAGCACUAAGCUCAGAAUAGUAAACUUCAAAGCCUCUCUUCUUCAGCAGCUGGAUGAAACAAGCAUAACAUGUAUCAGCACAGAUAUGCUUUUUCUCACUCCAGAGUUAAGGGAACAUCUUUUAUGCAUUUAAAGACUAGGAAAUCAAAAGUGAUUCCCUCUUGAUUUCAUUCUUGUGUCUUAAUCCUUUAAUUAGAAAUGAUAGCUGGCAAGAAUCUGUUUCGUUAACAGGAACCAGCAGAGAACUGUAGAGCUGGUAUACCAUAAAGAGUUCCAGGAAUAAGAUUAAUAUGAUAAAAUAUCCAGUGGGAGAACAGGACAAUAAGCUAUCCAGAGGCCAGUGAUUCAUCCUUCCAUUGUGCACCAGUCUUGCCACCUUCCCUUACUGCUGAUGUGUACACAAUCAUUUGCAUCCUCUGUGUGCGCUCUGAAAGCAGUGUGAAAUGACUGUACACAGGAUAGUCUGGAGGGAGAGUUC